rnacentral:rRNA from 1 species
GUAAGAGCUCGUAGGCGGUUUGUCGCGUCUGUCGUGAAAGUCCGGGGCUUAACCCCGGAUCUGCGGUGGGUACGGGCAGACUAGAGUGCAGUAGGGGAGACUGGAAUUCCUGGUGUAGCGGUGGAAUGCGCAGAUAUCAGGAGGAACACCGAUGGCGAAGGCAGGUCUCUGGGCUGUAACUGACGCUGAGGAGCGAAAGCAUGGGGAGCGAACAGGAUUAGA